rnacentral:rRNA from 1 species
UCCGGUGGCUAUAGCAAAAGGGUCACACCUGUUCCCAUCCCGAACACAGUAGUUAAGUCUUUUAGCGCCGAUGAUACUUGGUGGGCGACUGCCCGGGAAAGUAGGUCGCUGCCGGUU